rnacentral:rRNA from 1 species
GACAGAGGAGGCAAGCGUUGUCCGGAAUCACUGGGCGUAAAGGGUCUGUAGGCGGUGCGGUGCGUCGGCACUGAAAGCCUCACGCUUAACGUGGGGAGGGGUGUCGAUACGACCGCGCUCGAGGUAUCGGGACGUACGGAGAAUUCCGCGUGUAGCGGUGAAAUGCGUAGAGAUGCGGAGGAAUGCCGGUGGGGUAGCCGCCGUGCGACCGAUUACCUGACGCUGAGGGACGACAGCGUGGGGAGCAAACCGG